UGGGGAAUAUUGCACAAUGGGCGAAAGCCUGAUGCAGCAACGCCGCGUGAGGGAUGAAGGCCUUCGGUAUGUAAAGCUCUAUCAGCAGGGACGAUAAUGACGGUACCUGACUAAGAAGCCCCGGCUAACUACGUGCCAGCAGCCGCGGUAAUACGUAGGGGGCAAGCGUUAUCCGGAUUUACUGGGUGUAAAGGGAGCGUAGGUGGUAUGGUAAGUCAGGUGUGAAAGCCCGGGGCUCAACUCCGGGAUUGCAUUUGAAACUACCAAACUAGAGUGCAGGAGAGGUAAGUGGAAUUCCUAGUGUAGCGGUGAAAUGCGUAGAUAUUAGGAGGAACACCAGUGGCGAAGGCGGCUUACUGAACUGUAACUGACACUGAGGCUCGAAAGCGUGGGGAGCAAACAGG
rnacentral:rRNA from 2 species